AUCUCAAUUCACGUCAGCUUAUAAUGUUAUGGACGAUGAUCUAUGCGGUCUCGUCAAACUCAAAUCUGACUGCUCACCUAGAUGUCGAUUCGAGUAGUCGAGUCAUCAAUCAAUCGAGUGGUGCCGUCGACCUUCGAUCCUUGCAACAACAACUGAAUCAGGAGUCUUUGAUCAGGCUGUCUCUGGUCAACCAACUGUACACACUGAGUAGCGACAUGCUUACCGUAAAACAACGAAUGAUGGCUAUUGCAGUGGAAGGUCGACAGUUUGAAAACAAACUGAAAGAGAUGAAGAAGAAAAUCAUCGCGCUUAAAAACGAAAACCGGCGCAUGCGUGAUACCCAGGAGCAGAUUUCGGUCAAAGUGAGCAAUGCAACUGAUGCUGGAACUAGUCAUGCUUCUUCAGGAUCUCAGAAUACCAGCAUAAAGUGUGCAAAUAUGGUUGUUACGAAUGUUUCUGUUCGUAAAUACAUUUGAAACCGGAUGCAUUUAGAGUCCUAGCUUGUGUUUAUUUCAUUUAAGGGACACCUCCGUACGCGUGUUGUGACUUAUUAUUUAUCGAACUAAACAAGAAAAUCAAGUGUAAUAUUAUUUUUUCCUUUCCUAAAAGUGUCACCUAAAAGCGGAGCGCAGUACUAGUAGGUUAGAGGGUUUAGUACGAAUCUGUAAGUCAUGAGUUCGAAUUCCGCUGAGAAAUAUUUCAAAACCAAUAUAUAACGUAUUUUUGGUUAAAUAUUGUAAAAAUUUGAAAAUUCUAAAUCGGUGAAAUUAUUUUAAUUAUAACGUACUUUAAUCCACAUUAAUAUCGACAAAUGUCCCAAACCACUUGAAGUCAAUGAUCGUGUUUAUUUCAUUUAAGUUGACAAAAAUUAUUGCAUAUUUCAUUCAAGUCAACGAUUUUUUUAUUUCAUUAAAGUCAUUGAAAUUGUUUAUUUUGGUCAAUGAUCGUGUUUAUUUCGUUAAAGUCGACGAUUAUUUACUGGAAGCUUCUGGAAAACUCUUUAAAUUUAAUCUUUUCACUUCAAUUCACUUUACAUCAGCAAUGUUUAGGAGAAUAUUUUUAAUUGAAGAUCUUUAUAAAAGAACUUGCUCUGUGGCAAUUCCAAAAUAUUUGAUUAAACUAAGCCAUAGAUAACAGUUAUUGAUUUUGUCAACGUAAAUCUCUUAUUUAAAUAAAUUAAGAUAAAAACAAUAAUUUCAUGACAAUUUUGAUUUCACAGAUGAAGACUCGGUGGUCGCAUUUCACGCCUUUACUAGCAAAAAGCUUAAUUUCAAAACGGACACUACGGUGAAUGUGGUUUACGACAGGACUUCUCUUAACACCCAUGACGUGUACAAUACGAAAAAUGGCUUCUUCACAGCGCCAUCUGGUGGAUUAUACGUGUUUUCCUGGACGAGUCUGGUAGCAGAAAUGUCAAAGUUUAAUGCAGAGCUGCUUGUGAACGGGGAGAGAAAAGGACGGGCAAAUUGUGAUCAUGAGCUGGGUCAACAAGGUUUUGAAAGUUGUUCCAAUACAGUACCUGUUAUUCUGAAGACAGGGGAUCUGGUGAAUAUCCGAACUGUGGAUUCUCUUUCUCUUCUUGGAAUUCAAUGGUCCAGUUUCAAAGGAUGGAAAGUCCAAUAAGAACACUUGUUUUAGAGUUUUUUAGAAACUCUUUGUAUUUUGCAUGUUUGAAUUUCGAAUUUAAAAUUGUAUGAGAGCUAUUAAAUUUGCAUUAAAAUGG
rnacentral:misc_RNA from 1 species